rnacentral:lncRNA from 9 species
GGGAAAAAAAUGUAUUAAAAAAAGAAAGACAGAAAUAGCUGUUUCCUCUCCCCUUCCCCCGCCUGCUUUGGAUCAGAAGUUUUGCUCUUUUUUUCUCCCCUCUGUUGAGAGAAUUGGUUAAAGGAGGCUUAGCUGAUGUUGUCUUCAUCCAGAAAGUACAUACCAUUGUUCUCGCCUUUGGGUAUCUGGGUCCUCUCCUGCAGGUGGGUCUUUCUUGCAGCCUGUCCACACUGCCUUUGGUAUAGUUCUAUCUGCCAAAUUCUAAACGUUUUAAGUCCUUCAGCGCUUUGGCAAGGAGGUUGCCUUCUGCCCACUGCAAUUGUUUGAGGACCUUUGGAGUUCUGUACCCAUUUCAUGCUUCCGAAAAUUUUCCCUAGAAGUUGGUGGAUAUUUUUACGGGAAUGUUUCCUUGUAUCUGUGACCAAGGAUGUGAAUUUCUCUCCUCCCAUGUGUGCCACCUGGUGCCCAAGAUACAGCCCGUUUCGGCCGUCCCUCGUCUGUUCGUUCAGCUUAGAGAUACGUUUUCUUGGAAUCCGCAGGCGAAACAAACAGGAAAAUCUUCCCCUCCAUCCUGGAGAAAAUGCUGCCUGUUUUUGAUGAGACCUUCCUGGGUAAAAAGUUGCUGAUGUUAAGAAAAGCCAGGAGUGGGCGGCUUCCUGCAGCAAAGGCAGUUGGCCGAAGAAAGAGCGAAACCAAACAGAGGAUAUUUUUGGAAAGACUGUUCUUUGCUCCAAAUUGAUCCAAUAUAAAUGUAAUUUGGCGCGUCCGCCGGGGUGACCUCUGUGGGCUAGGACGUGAAACGUCCAGGCUGCAGAGAAUGAGGGGCAGGGCGGGAUGGAGACGACCACAGCUGAGGACAGGCAGUUGGUAGCUUUAAUGGCAAACCGCUGUCCCUUGCACAGCGCCGGGCAAUGGCCAUUGGUUUGUACGUUGUAGGUGUGGUGGGUCCAGAAGAACCGACUUCAUCACAGUCCACUCUUGGGGAAGGACAAAAGCCACAAGGAACCAGAAAGAUCCAGGCUCUGACACAGAUGGCACUUAUCUUUCCGACUUGGCAUUGUAUUGUUUGCAGCGAUGUUGUAGUUUCCCAGGGGCGGCUUGGUUCCCACCAUCCGUGUCCCCCUUGGCCGCAACACCUGAGCAGGAAGCCCGCAGCGUUUUUUUGUGCGAUGGUCCAGGGGGUUCCCAGUCUCCCAGAAAAGUUAAAUGGAUCCUCUGCUCUGGAGCAAUGGGGAUGCCUGUCUGCAGAAAUGUACACGGCUCCCCCAGGUCCCCUCGACAACCCCCAGGGGCAGAGCGUAGGAGGCUCGGAUAAAGCCAUCCUUAGCCGAGCCAGAGUGGGGACAUGUGAAUGCCUUUCCCAUCACACUGCCUUUCUCACUUCUUUUGCAGGUAACAUUUGGGGAAGACGUUUACAUAUUUAAAGUAAAUUUUUAGCUUUCUUAUUGUAGAGAAUAGAUGAGAUUUGAGUAACAUCUGUAAUAUAAUACUACUCUAUCAAGGUCAGCUUCUUUUUUUUUUUUCUUUUUUUUUGGCCAUGCCCACAGCACAUGGAUGUUCCCAGGCCAGGGGCUGACCCUGCGCCAUAGCACUGCCCCAAGCUGCAGCAGAGACAGUGCCUGCUCCUUACCCUUCUGCAUCACAAGGGAACUCGCCAGUGUUCCUCAUGUGUAAGUUUGGAUCGGUGUAGCACAGGUAUGCGAAAUGGCAACGUGCGCAAGACCUGCUAAGGGGUGUAUGGGAACUUCCUAUAACUUGAGGCUGUGCAACUGUCCUCUAAAUCUAAAAUGAUUUCAGAGUUCCCGUCGUGGCUCCAUGGUUAACAAAUCCGACUAGGAACCCUGAGGUUGUGGGUUCCAUCCCUGGCCUCGUUCCAUGGGUGAAGGAUCCGGCGUUGCCCUGAGCUGUGGUGUGGGUCACAGACGCGGCUUGGAUCUGCAAUGUGGCAUCCGAGCCACGUCUGCAACCUAUACCGCAGCUCGCGGCAACACCAGAUCCUUAACCCCCUGAGCGAGGCCAGGGAUCGAACUCAUGUCCUCACGGAUACUCAUCGGGUUCGUGACUGCUGGGCCACAGCGUGAACGCCUAUGUAUUUUUAAAAGCGGAUACGAAUUGAGCUUUUGCUCAUCUACACGACAGAGCAUCCUUUGGGGCUGAUUGUAGCAUGAUCCACCUGUUGCCACAAAUACCCAGGGUGUGUGUUUCCGAGGGAUGAUGGACAAGAGCAGAGUUUUUGUUGGGGGAGAAGAUCGGUUUGGACUCUGUCAUGGGUCCCCUUAGCAUCCCCUCUUACUUGAUAGCCCGGCGUGAAACUACGAUGUUUGAAGCCUUCUGCUGGGAUGCUUGAGAUGUGGACGUCUGGGUCCUACCCCGUGGACACCCAAGAGCAUCGGGACCACAGCGCAGCUGCAGGGGAACCGCCCCGCGCCUUCCGCACAGCACGGAGCCUGGCGCGCCUCACGCAAGAGCCGCCCGCGGUUUCAGCAAAGGGCCCGUCCACUCCCGGACCCACGGGGCCUGAGGCCACUCAGCACACACGUGGCCAAGACCCUUGCAAGGCCCUCGAGCAGCGUUCCCGAACAUCGCGUGGCUUGAGCAGAGACUCCUCCUUGGAAGAGCUUUUCCCUAAUUUUAUAGCAUCGAAUAUGUGUGCAUCCCUUUCUCCAAGGGAAGGAUCGGAAACCGUCUCGCGUGGAGGAAUAUUUCCCUUAAUUCUGUCUAGGACUAGAGGCUUGCAUCCUACAGGGCUUGGGUUUGUUUUGUUUUUUUCUUUUGAAAAGCCACACCCGCGGCAUGUGGAAGUUCCCAGGCUAGAGGUCACAUCGAGCUGCAGCUCAGCUGCCGGUGUACACCACAGCCACAGCCACGCCAGAUCUGAGCCGCAUCUGUCAUCUACGCUCUACCUGUGUCAACACCAGAUCCUUGACCCACUGAGCGAGGCCAGGGAUCGAACCUGCAUUCUCACUGAGACCACACCAGGUCCUUAACCCCUGAGCUAUAUGGGGAACUCUGUACAGUGCUGAAAAUGUCAAGAUGUCAUAACAGUGAGGUGGCACGGCACCUUCCUUGGAGGACUAGGACGUGCUCUCCCCUCCUUCCUCCUUUAAGUGACAUCUCAUGCAUCAAGGGCAAUUCUCAAAGAGGAGAAAACACAAAACAAAGAAGAAAAACCACCCACCCUAGGUUAACAUCUGGUGUACAAUGAAAAUGAAAAUAGUUUAAAAAUGUGUUCAUGGACACCACCUCAGUGUCCAUCGACAGAGGAAUGGAUAAAGAAGAUGUAGUCCAUAUAUUCAAUGGAAUAUUACUGAGCCGUCAAAAAGAAUGAAACCAUAGCAUUUGCAGCAACAUGGGUGGACCUAGAGAGGAUCAUACGAACGGAAGUGAGUCGGACGUUGCUGAGUACCCCCUGGGGAACAAAGUCACCCCUUUUGGAAGACUCCUUCAUUAUCACCGUUUUUUGUUAUGAAAUGUUGUUUUCUCCUCCUGCGUAUGUAUCUGGGGAUGCGGUCAUGACUCUCAUGCAGAAUCACUACAGCUGGGCGGAUGCGGUAUGGAAGGCACCGUGGGGUUUUUAUUACAUUACACACUGACACAGAAAGCAGAGUGCAUGCAAACCUGAAGAAUAUGCUCUUUGGCGACCUUUUUAGAAAACAUGUUUUACUGGCAGUAGAGUCGAUUACCAAUGCUGUCUUAGUUUCAGGUGUACAGCGGAGUGGCUCAGUCGUAUAUACUCAUGCAUCCUUUUUCAGAUUCUUUUCGAUAUAGGUUAUUAGAGAAUAUUGAGUGGGGUUCCCUGGGCUGUAAGGAGGUCCUUGAUACUUAUCGAUGUUAUAUCUAGUGGUGUGUAUGUGUUAAUCCCACCCUCUUAAUUUAUCCCUCCCCCUCCCCUUUGGUAACCUUACCUUUUUUUUCCUGUCUUUGAUUGUUUCUGUUCUAUAGAUAGCUUCAUUUGUGCCGUAUUUUAGAUUCCACAGAUAAGUGAUCUCCUGUGGUAUGUAUGUUGCAGCACUGGGCAUGAUUUCAUUCUUUUUCAUGGCCGAGUAGUAUUCCACUUUCUGCACGUACCGCAUCUUCUUUAUUCGCUCAUGAUUAUCACUGGUGGAUUAUUCCCGUAACCUACCGUCCCUGAUAUCUGAAAGAAAUGAUUUUGCAUUUCUGUAAAUGUGCUUCAGGCUGAGAUUCAUUGGCAGCUUGCGUCAUCCUGUCGGUUCUCCUUGUCUUGGGGGGCAAAUAAAACCCACUUUUCCACACCAGGUGUGAGUGGGUGUUCCUCCCUAGGCAGACCUUGGGUUCCCAGGAAGCUGCCCUGUUCCCAUCCUGGGUGGUUUAUACACUCCCACCCUGGUAUUUCCUGCCAGCUUCUAGCAUCUUCUCUCCCCAGCCGACCGACACCCCGUCUGUACACCAGUCACAGGACACCUCGACGUUCCACCCGCUAAAGCCGUGGAGGGCAUCACCCAUCCUAAAAACAGGCAUCCUUUAGGACAGGUGGCGGCCAGAUGGACCAGCUUGUCCAUUUUUAGAACUCGCUUUCCCUGCAGAAAUGCACGUUCCAAUGGUAGGAGUGUGUGGGGAGCCGGUUUGCAGCCAACAGUGUGGGUUUGACACCCUGUUGAGGGUGACCUCAUGCUUUACACACCCACGCAUCCCCUGAGCCCUGAGCACCGCGGGGGGCUGCUGGAUUCCUCCUUAGUGACUUCUGCUCUGCCGCAUGCAGGCUCUUGCCUGCACAGCCCGCACAACCUGUAAAGAGCCCCCCUCGCCCCUUGGCUGCUGCCUCCCUUCUCCGUUUUCCUUCAAGAGCUGCCUCGUUCUUGUGUUCGAUUUCGUGGUGGGGUUUUCACCCUUUGGGAAUCUUAGGGUCAGGACAUAGUGGACUAAGAUCUAGACUGGAUUACUCCUUGCAGCUUCUAUGUCGGGAGCAACAUUGAAUUCUUCAUGGGGAACCCUGCUGCCUGCAGGUUCAGGACCACUGGGAGGUGAGCAGAGUUGGAGUCAAGAGACCUGUCCCUGUUUUAAUGGAAGAACCCCAAGACUUGGCCGACAACCUUUUUUUUUUUUUUUUUUCUUUUUAAGGUCACAUCUGCGGCAUAUGGAAGUUCCCAGGCCAGGGGUCGAGUCGGAGCUGCAGCUGCCAACCUACACCACAGCCACAGCCACGCCAGAUCCAAGCCAUGGCUGCAGUGUAGUCCAGCAGCUGUAGCUCCGAUUCGUCCCCUAGCCUGGGAACUUGUCUAUGUGCUUCAGGUGCAGCCGUAAAAAGAAAAAAAAAAAAAAAAAAGGAAGAGGCUGGUGGACUAUCCAGGUGGGCUGGCGUAACCGCAGGGCUUCUUCAAAGGGGAGGAAGCAGCGGAGGAUGAGAGCAGAAUGACUCUGCGAGAAGGACUCAGCCCAGCACUGCUGGCUUUGCAGGCAGAGAAGGGGACCGUGAAACCAGGAAUCUGCAGACUAGGGACCGGAUGGGCCCUGGAACACCAGCCUGCCGACACCAUGAAUGUCUCCCCGUAAGCGCUCUCUGGGACAGCCAACCUCUACAGUUUUGCAAGAGAGGGACUCCGGGUCACUGAAAGUCCCAACGUCUGUGCUUACAGCAGCGCCGGGAAGCUAAGACAGCUACCCGUGUGGGUGACUCUGGACCAGUCACUCAGAUUCCCUGAGCACUGGCUCCCUGGUCACAUGAAGGUGGCAUCCGGCUCACAGAACGGUUGCCCGAAUCCGCAAAGGUGGUGGAAGCCGUGUUGAUCCCGCGGGCUGUCCGCCGAGCGUUCGUGGAAAGAACCGAAGCCCUGGAUGGAAGCGGGAAAAACAGCUCCUGGGAAGAGAUUCACGUUCUGUUACAAAGUAUGAAUUUGUGUCCGUCGCCUCUUGCCAGGUAACAAAUGAUCCUAAAAGCAGCUGUUUAAAAGGACAUAAAGAUUAUACACCUCUGGGAGUUCUCGUGAUUCCGUGGGUUAUAAACCCAGCUAGUGUCCAAGAGGGUGCGAGUUUGAUCUCUGGUCUCGCUCAGUGGGUUAAGGAUCCGGCGUUGCCAUGAGCUGUGGUGUAGGUGGCAGAGGCAGCUCGGAUCCCGUGUUGCUGUGGCUGUAGUGUAGGCUGGUGGCUACAGCUCCGAUUCGACCCCCAGCCUGGGAACAUCCUUAUGCUGCAGGUGCAGCCCUAAAAGAAAAGAAAAAAAAAA